rnacentral:rRNA from 1 species
GAUGAACGCUGGCGGCGUGCUUAACACAUGCAAGUCGAACGGAAAGGCUCCUGCUUGCAGGGGUACUCGAGUGGCGAACGGGUGAGUAACACGUGGGUGAUCUGCCCUGCACUUCGGGAUAGGCCUGGGAAACUGGGUCUAAUACCGGAUAGGACCACAUUUUGGAUGGUGUGGUGGAAAGUUUUUCGGUGUGGGAUGAGCUCGCGGCCUAUCAGCUUGUUGGUGGGGUAAUGGCCUACCAAGGCGUCGACGGGUAGCCGGCCUGGGAGGGUGUGCGGCCACAUUGGGACUGAGAUACGGCCCAGACUCCUACGGGAGGCAGCAGUGGGGAAUAUUGCACAAUGGGCGAAAGCCUGAUGCAGCGACGCCGCGUGGGGGAUGACGGCCUUCGGGUUGUAAACUCCUUUCGCUAGGGACGAAGCGCAAGUGACGGUACCUGGAGAAGAAGCACCGGCUAACUACGU